rnacentral:rRNA from 1 species
CCAAUAAGCGGAGGAAAAGAAACUAACAAGGAUUCCCCUAGUAACGGCGAGUGAAGAGGGAAGAGCCCAAGAUUGAAAGCUGGCGUCUUCGGCGUCCGCAUUGUAAUCUCAAGAAGUGUUUUCCGCUUCGGACCAUGCCUAAGUCCCUUGGAAAAGGGCAUCAUAGAGGGUGAUAAUCCCGUACAUGGCAUGGAGCGCCCGAAGCUUUGUGAUACGCUUUCUAAGAGUCGAGUUGUUUGGGAAUGCAGCUCAAAAUGGGUGGUAAAUGCCAUCUAAGGCUAAAUAUUGGGGAGAGACCGAUAGCGAACAAGUACAGUGAUGGAAAGAUGAAAAGAACUUUGAAAAGAGAGUUAAACAGUACGUGAAAUUGCCAAAAGGGAAGGGUAGGAGGUCAGAGAUGCGGCCUAGGAUUCAGCCUUGCUUUUGCUUGGUGUUUUUCCUAGAUUGCAGGCCAACGUCGGUUUUGGGCACUGGAGAAUGGUGGAAGGAAUGUGGCACCUCUCGGGGUGUGUUAUAGCCUUCUACUGGAUACAGCGACCGAGACCGAGGACAGCAGCGUACUCGCAAGAGCGGGCCUUCGGGCACCUUUACGCUUAGGGCGUUGGCAUAAUGGCCCUCUACCACCCGUCUUGA